UACGUAGGGUGCAAGCGUUGUCCGGAAUUAUUGGGCGUAAAGAGCUCGUAGGCGGUUUGUCGCGUCGGCUGUGAAAGCCCGGAGCUCAACUCCGGUCUGCAGUCGAUACGGGCAGACUUGAGUGUUGCAGGGGAGACUGGAAUUCCUGGUGUAGCGGUGAAAUGCGCAGAUAUCAGGAGGAACACCGGUGGCGAAGGCGGGUCUCUGGGCAACAACUGACGCUGAGGAGCGAAAGCGUGGGGAGCGAACAGG
rnacentral:rRNA from 1 species